UGGUAGAAUACGCCCUCAGUAACCCCUGCUUGUCGUAAGAGGCGACUAAAAGGGGAGCCGCGUUUCUAGACGACAGCAGAAAAAUCACUAUUUUUCCGCGGGGAGCCUAUUAUGCUCGAUACUAUACAUGAUAUUUACAAUUAGAAAUGUAUAUUAAUGUCUAGUCUUAGUUAAUUAAUGAAAAUGUUAAUUAGGUAAGGCUAAUAUUAAUGACAAUAUUAAUGACAACAUAUCUGUUUUCAAUUUAAAAUUAAAUCAAAGCUUUCUUUACACUUUAAAAUAUUGUUUAAAUGCAUGAUUAUCCGGCAUAGUUCAACAUUUCUAGAUGGUUUAACACUUUGUAAAUAUUUUAUUGUAGCAUUAAUUAUGUACUUGUCGCGCUAUCCUUUCUCGGGUUAAGUAAUAAUUGUUUAAUUAUCCGAAAUAAAGCCGUCUCGACGCGCCGCGGCAGUAGCCGAAGCCUUUUCCGGUUUAAUCAACUUCAGGAAGUUUGCUAGUGGCGGGUAGUUGUCGGGUCAGUAUAUGCAUUCUAUACUAGCCAGGGGAAUUUUGUGGACAUCGCGCGGUCAACCGCUCUAAUAUUAAUAGCCGGGGUAUGAAAUUUGCUUAAUCAUGACUAACGGGAUGACCCAAUGGAAUGACAAUAAUUUGUCGGUGUUCACUGGUCGUGUCAAUCUCGAGUAACGAUCGCCACGAAAUUUCGAGUACUAUAGAAUUGUUUCACGUCAGAAUAAGAAUAUUAAUAUUAAUUUCCUUUAAUCGCUCAGAAUGGCAAUUUUAAUCUUUCUUUCACUAAUGCGAUCGCUAGCCGUGUAAACACGUUCGCACCACUUAAAGGGUUACACUCGGCCCUCCUAUAUUCUUCUUUCCUCCCAACCCUUUUAAAGCGACGCAAAUUUAUCGUUGAAUUUUUCUGGGAUUUCCCAGGACGGCGUUUAAAUUUUUGUCCCGGCUACAGGUAAAUUGUACACACGCGAGAUAAACCCGUCCGCUGCUUGUGUCAGCUGCUGUUAGGACCGUAAUGAGAGGUGCUAUAACGUUAACGGCCGAACGCAUACAUUCGAGCAAUUACGUCGCUCCAACUAAUUUCUCUACUCUGGACAAACUUGAGGAAUUCCAUUCUCCGAGUAGCGACGCGCGCGCCCGCGCGCACGUGUGUAAAGGGUUGCACCAAGGGAUCGUCGAGGGGGUGGAGGUUACCGCUGACCAUUUCGUCGGAUCUCCCCGCAUUUUCGUUGCUUGCCCAGCCGGCUCCGGUUCACUGUGCACGCAUACGUACGCGAAAAGCGUACACAAGCACACAAAAGCGACGCGACGCCCUUUAGUAAGCCGGUGAUACGAAUGCAGCCAAGAGGGUUGUUUGUCAAGAGAAUUUUCAGCGGUGAACACGCUGGCCAACGAGUAUUACGGGUUGGAUUAAUUCCCAACAAAAAUAUGUGAAAUAUUUUCACGGUGCAGAUGAGAACCGACGCACACAUGCGAAGGGUGGACGUACAAACUCAAAAAGAGCGUGUACACAUCGUUUGCAGGACGUUGCUCUUCAAGUUUCGUGUUUUGCUUUCGGAUUGAGCGGCUAGGUUUUCGCAACAAAUUGCCUUCGGCCGAGAGACCUAUUAUUGCGUAUGAUAUUCACCUUUUCCUAAUCUUUCAUACCGAUCGCUCUUUGUCGCGAGGAUUUUCUUUAAGCUACAGGUAUCGAUAGGUAAAUCCAGAAUACGGUGUUGGAAAAAAUUUAAUGUUAAUGGAAGAAAUCGUCAUUCCAGACGAUAGUCGAGUUCCGUGCACUCGGACCCGGUGCUAUUUGCACCCGUACGUCGCGUCCCGCCGAAAGAUUUCCGAACGAAAUUCCUUGUCGGCUACCGGAAUACAGCCGGAGUCAUUCAAGCUGCCGACGACGUUCUAUUCAACGGAAGGCAGCGCGAGCUUCCUUUUUCCCCUCUUUCGAUUCAUUCGUUCGCGAGCAAAUCGACGACGAUUUACCUUUCGAAAGUGGUCGAUCUACUCUGAGAAUGAGAAACGUAACUUGAGCAGAUUUACAAUGUAAAUCGAGGCGCGAGUUCCCUUUAAUCUUUUUUCCCUUAUUACCGCUCGUUAGUUCCUCCCCUUAAGCGUCGAUCAUAAUUGACCGACGUAAGUUCCCAGCCACGUUCGAGUACACGAAUUACAUGCAUUGAACAACGUUCCGGGAAGAGGGAUGGUGAAACGAGGCAAAGGGGGAGGUUUGAUCGAGCUUGCUGGUAGCCGCGAAAGGGAGCAUUUCGCGUAAUCGAAGUAUCGCGUGCCGUGGUAGCCGCGGAACGAUAAUUUCAUUACGCGAGAGAACAAACGUAGCUACAUACGUACCGCGAAGGCAGGACAUUUUUAUCGGCUACGAUCUGAUAUUUCGUCGAUCACCUCCGCUCCGUGAGGUUGGCCGUUGUAGAAGCGCGUGCGUGAGAUACGCGAGUAAUUCUCCUCGCGUGGGAAAGCAACGUUUCGAGCCGCAUAAAUAUAACGGCAGAGACGUUGCCGGGACGAACACGCUCGCGGUAGCUUCUCUGGCUUGAUAGCAGCUCGAAAUCGUCGAGCAAAACCAGCCACGGUACACUAUUAAUUCGGCUGACAUGGAAAAAGUUUUCUACUUAAUUUCAAGUAUAAUCUUGUCUCUGUUUUGCUCGUACAAUACGCGUGAAAUUCGUGGAUCGUUAUAUUAUACAUAUAAUUCUACCGGCUUCGACGGGAAAGCCACCCCUUAAGGCCGAACUUUCUUAAUCCAGAGUAAACCAAAGCACGGAUAAUACAGCUUCCACGGCCAUUCAGAGACUUUAAUAAUCUAACUUUUCGCGAUACUCUGCGGGAACCCACUUUUAACCGAAAAAUUGCUUUUCCUUCCUCCCACACGGGGAGUGAACAAGUACUUAAGCGUGUAUCAUUCUUUCAACGAUGUGUUAAAACAGAGUUGGAAUCAUCCGUCUUUUGAAGGAUGAUUCGUUAUCGCAAGGAUAAUCAGAAUUAUUCAAUCGUAACAAAGAAAAUAAAGCUUUUUGUUCGUCGCGUUAACCCUCGGACGGCAGACCAUGGAAAUGAAACUCUCAUUUAGAUUAAUAUCCUUGUAUAUUUUUCUACAAGUUUUUAUUCUUUGUAUAAAAUUGGUCGAUAGAUUUUAUAUAGAUCGUCUGAAUUACAAAGCUCGUCGAAGCGCAGGCUGGUAAUAAAAAUCGGCUUCGCAUAUCUGUCCGUGCACGCACCCUAUCUCUUCUCCACCCUUCGAUCUCUCGUAACUCUUGCUAUUCAUCGAGCGACGAUCGAUUACAGUGCUUCGCGGACAAUGCCAUUCAGGACAGUGCGAAUUUCAUUCUUUCGUUUCGUGCCCGUUCGCAGAACAACCGACAAAAGCUCGCCAACAGAGCUCGAUGCUUUCACAUCUAUUCCUCUCUUGCCCCGGCCGCGUAAGUCUUGCGUGAAUUCGCAUCGUGAACUAUACCAGUGCCUACAAAUCCAACAAGAUUGGACCUGCUUUUGUUUUCAAUGGGUUUUGAAUUUGUGCCUUGAAAACGGCACCAGAAUCCUUACAUCUCUUGCAUCCCUUGCGUGUAAGAUCGUAUAGUAACACCGGAUACAUUUUGGGGAAAAAAUAAACGAAUAAAUUCGUCGAAACAGGUCCCGCGUAUGUACGUUCUCAUUGGAGAUCGAUAAAAUUAAUUGUCAUAUAUUUCAGACAUUUGCAUAGAUAAUGGCGAUUGGUGGGUGUGACCGAUUACCGUACGUGAUCCUGCGCUUCUCUGCCGGUGAAUACUUAGCAAAUGAAAUUUCAUGCGUACGCGUACACGCGUCGAAACGUGAUCAAAAUGUUCAGCGUUUCCUGUCUGCCGUUCGAAAAGCAAUCAGACGUACCACAAUUAAAAACGUUACAUCGUUUCAUUAUACCUCGCGAAACUUCUAUCAUUCAUUCGCGGAAUUCUCUUUAAAUCAAUUCCAUCGAUCUUUCCCGUUUAAACUUUCAAGCAAAUGACGCUUUAAAAAAAGAAAGAUAAUAAGAACUUAUGAAUAUUCUAAUCUUGCUCCACGCUCGAUUUCGGAACACACGAAUCGUGAACGAACGAAAUUCCCACGAAUUCCUCGGGAUUUUUCCAGUCGUUCGAGCAAACGGAGUUUUCGUGAUUAUCUCGAGCGAUUUUCCGUGAGCGCGUGAAUAAAAUUAAUCAGUGUCGGUGGAAGAAGACCAGACAGACUUUCAAGACGUUUUUAUUACUUUUGCCGUGGAGAAAAGUUUUAAGCGGAACUUUUGAUGAUAGCAAUGUGAUUUGAUUUUUAGCUAAUCUAUGCACCUCGAUGGAACAGUAACAUUUUGUUUACUUACCCGACGAUAAUUUAACAGCAAAGGAUUCGAGGAUUAAAGACGCAAUGCUACGUCAGCGCGUUAAUAACUAACUCCGAAAUUCGAUCUAGAAGUAUACGAAAGAACCAACAAGUAAAAUUCAAUCGAAAUUUUUGCUCCCCCCAUCGUGAUACAGGCGAGGGUACGAAAUGAAGCAUUAACUUAUCCGAAGCAACAUCGGUCGACUUACCGUGUACAAUUUUUUACCGAAAGGUAACCGCUGGAAAGAAAUAGGAUCAUUAUUUCUUCUUUAUUAGCAAUCAUUCUCGUUGGAUCCGCCACCUGACAUCCCUGACAAGGGAACGUAUAUCAAACACAAAAAUAUGUUCGUGUCUCACCCGGAGCAUCGUUAGACAGGCUUAAUACGCUAGUAAAACAUCCGGACGGCAUCACACGGUGUUGGUCCAUAUUAAAUUCUUAGCGGGUACCUCGUGUCGUUCUUGAUGUCCUUCAUUAAUCAAUCCAUUGUGCUCGACUCGGUAAGUGGGAUCCAAAAUGUUUCGACACCGGGCCCCACUUCCUUCGCUAUCUCUUCCUUCCAUCUCAUCUUUUAUUUUACUUUUCAAUCGGUCCGGACUUCCAUUUUUGACCAUUGUGUAGAAUUGCGGCAACAACCGUGAACCAUGGCGGUCGUCUGGUACACACCAGCCUGGUGUAUUACCGCCUUGGUACGUUUUAACUUAUGGGCUCCCAUUAUAUGUAAAGCAGGAGGCGUCGGGUCAACCGUACCGUUUCGUCCUCCUAUUUGUUUGACCCUAUCGAAUAUGUAGCGCUCUGCUGAACAGUCCGGGAAAUUUAUGGGAAACGGGAGCAAGGCGGUCCGAUGAAUAGAAGCAGGUGUCGGAACGAUUAUCGAUGAAUCGAGUGUUGGAAUUCUAAGGAGGAAGCUCAGGUGUAGUUCUGAUUUCGUUAUUUUGCUUUUCUCGUUAGAUCUUGAAGAUUUCAUUUUCUUUGAAUCCAUUAGCGAGAAAACUACCCUGUAGAAUAGGAGCUCUAAUUCCCUAUUGGGGCCAUUGCCAAUGGCCAAUCGCCUUUGGUCACCGAAUUAUCAACUCUUAUCGUAUUUAUUUUUUAAGUAAUUCCAACUUUCAGUUGAAUUAUUUAGUCGAAUAUAGUCGGUUUGAAAGCGUUCUGUAAAACAGACCUACCUACAGGUAUCAGAGCCAGGCUUCGGCUCGACGCUAACCGAUGUCGCUACCUAUUCGUAUUGUAGCACAAGUCCAAAGGGUUGAAUUUCCACCCCCAAUUUCAAAUGGUAAAUCAUCUAUCACCAUUUCCCGCUGUUUUUGCUACGUCCACUUUUUCCGGAUUACUUUUUACUCCCUUGCUAAUGGGACCAGCCGCAAUUUAGUGGUAGGUCGAUCGACUUAGGAGGGCUAAAAAUUUUUUUCCCCAGCCGUGUUUCUGAACGCGCAGAAAAGGUAGCCGUUUCAGGGCUAGAUGUAUAGAGAGCGUGUACGAAACACGCCAACUGACCAUUAUGUAGAUUUCUAAUGAUUAGAUAUAUCGGUCGUUUGCCAGUGGAAUGAAUGUAAUGUACCUUUGUUGGAUGCACUACACCUUGCCCCCUUCGUUCCAUCAUCGCUUCCUUAAUUUGUUACCUCGUCUAACGAUCGUUGCUUGUCCCUAAAAAAGGAAACGAGGUGGUUGAAAGAAAUAGUUUCUUUUCGUUUGCAAGGGUUACUUCGCCUCGUUCUUUACGCGAUUGCGCUUUUCUUCGUGCCAGCGGUGCACGCUCGACGAUGUUCAACCGCGAUUCAUCGUCGGUCGAAUCGAGCGGGAAUUUCUAUGCGGACCUAGACGACAAAUAGUUCCUCGCGGGAAUGAAAGCGCGAUGAAACAUUGGGGAGCGUGUAACGAUGUAUCGUGUUCUGGCGUAUCGCGUUUGGACGGCAUCCAAAAACCUUUCGUACGAAUUCCUUAACGUUCCGUAUAGAGAAAUCUCUGCGAAACUUUCACAAACAGCAGCCUAAUAUUUAACCCUUUUUCUGAUUAUUAAAGCGAACAUCGAAUCUUUAAGAUUUCUGUUAUAAGACGUUAAAUUCGCACGGUAGAAGCGUUAUUCCAGGUCUGUCGAGGAUUACGCUCGAUGUUGUUUGUAUUAUUAACGUUUCCAUUUGCGCGAGUAUUGGGAUGAUUCUCCGUGAACCCUUCCGCCGUUCGUGCGAUUAGAAACGUUUUCAUUCAGAAGAGACGUUUAGCUGCAACGCGAGUGCACCUCGUCGCGAUACAUAAUGGAUCAGGUUGGUUCGGCGCGUGAUAAAUUCGACUCCCCGGUGAAAUUGCUUUGUUAUUUAGCGGGCCAAUGAAAAAAAGCGGCCGCGCCUUAAUAGAGGCAAUAUCCAUACAAAGAGAUUAUUUACGUUGCGUUAAAGGAACGUUGGCCGGCUACGUUGCUCGUGACACAUUGAGAAACUGUUUGUCGAAUAUUAAAGCGUUCACUCUUAAAUAUUCAUGAACGUCUUACUCCUCGCGCGGCACGGUAACGAUAUUUUACUCUAAACCGGUUGCCCGGAUAGCCGAGCAUCCUGGAACGAUUAAAUAAUUGUUCCACAUUCUUGUUCAACGCGAAACACCGAACGUUACGCUCUUAAUAAACGCCGGGACGAUCGCGUGUUAAUAUUAACGUGUCUCGAAUCCCCGAUACUAUUUACGUCGAUUAAUUAAACCGAUCGUAAUUAGCACGAUACGCGGAAAAACACGGCUACGAGUUAGACCACGAUUUUAUCGUCGUUGUCCGCGAACCAUACGAUUUCCUUGGACUUUCUUUCAGGAUGUCGACUUCUUUUUAGUAGAUUAUGUUCUUCGAUAUAGCAAUGCCGGUUGAGCUUACUAUUAGCAUAUUUCAGACUGUAUAAUUUAUGCAUCCAUUACGUCGCGAGGGAGAAAGGGGCAAAGCUAAAGGGGUGGACUUUGAAGGGUACACGGAAGAAGGUCUUGGUCGUAUCCAUUCGUAAAGUCUUAUUUAUCGAUUUCGUCUGUCAAUGGGAUACGUACGUCCUAUCGUUUACCGUUCCGACGUAAAUGUACUGUGUACGAGCCUUUAAAUUGAUUUAUUUCAUAGAGGAGAUCCUGGAAUAUGUAACGGGUCCAUGGUGCGGGGCAUGGAACUGCAAAAUGUUGGGAAAAUAUAUGUGUAGGAAGAAUUGACGAUAGACGAUUUUGUCGAUACUAUUUUUAACAUAAUUCAAUGUCAAUUUAUAUAGCUUUCGAAUGCAUAUUCUCAUAAUUUAUCGCAAACAUUUGUAAACUUGGAUGGAAAGGAAAAUUAAAUUAAAAUUGUACUCCAUGAACCGUCGUCCGAGGGUUAAAGUUGAGGUGGAUGAAAAUUUUUAAUUUUAAUGUCCCAUUAUGAAAAUGUCGUAAUUGACUAAGCCCUGAGCACUAGCAAGGAAUAGUGAGAUGAAUAUUUUUCCGCUUUAUGAAGCGUUGAAAUGAUACAGGAAGCGUAUGGAAGCUAGCAUUCGUCGAGAGGGGGUCCAUAAAUUGAACUUCGCCCCUCGUCGCUCGGAAUGACUGAUCGAUAAUAUAACCACGCGGAAUAUCUGCUACGAGCUGUAAAUAGUGAACGUUGUAACACAUUUUAAUAGAGAAUUUAAGCGACUGGAGAAGAAGAGGGCUAGGAUAGCGAGCCGCUAUGGGCGAACGUGUUAAACCAUAUGCUGCUUCGGAUUAGGAACACAUAUUAUGCGCGAAGUGUUAUUACGAAGUACUGGAAACGGCUUAAUUGCUAUUAUUAUCAGAAUAAUAAUACGAGUGUAGGGAUCCCGACACCUGGAAUCUGACGUUAUCGGGAAGCCUCGCAGCGGAUUCCUUCAAGUACCUAUUGCAAUAAUCUUCGUCAAACGCUUAAAUGAUAUUUAAAUUACCUUAGGAUAUUCAGGUGUCUUGAGAAUGUCUACUUUCCCGGAGGGCCUAGUUAUAUUUCCAUUUACUAUGUCAAAAAAUAUUGAAACUAAUUUUGAUUACCGUUACCCUUUUUCUUCACGAUUAAAUAUGAUUUCAUUUCAUGAAGGUUUGACAACGCCGGCCCCCAGAAAUCUUGAUCUGCUCUUCAAUGUACCUAAUUACUUAAAACGUGUGUUCAAAACGCAGAAUACAAUUCGACCAACUGGUAUCGCUCUUGAUAAAGUCCUUUGUAACGAGCGAGGUUUAAGCUUUCUUCAAACCGAUCGCUACUUCCCCUGUGUUUGUCGUUCGUAUCUUCGAGAGCUGAUAACGUUCCCGAUACUCGCUCGUUAGUCGCUCGCAGAAAGUUGUUCGGUUAUUCGUUAUUCUAAUUAUGCACAUAAUAAAUUACAUGCAAAACUGUCACACACAUAUGUACAGCCUAUCUCUCUCUAUCUUUCGCAUUCUGUUCGUCGCGUACCGGUCUGUACGCGCGUGCUCAUCGAUCGACAUAACUCUCUGACACGUACUCGCGUUACACGAAAUGUCCACGCGGCUCCGCAUACCCGUGUGCGUGCACCUAGCCUCGGUGUUACUCGGCUUGCUGGAAUUUCUGGGAAACUCGUCCUCGAACGCGAUCAUUAGUCCUCCGCUUUCGCAAUAAGAACGCGAAACGAAACGAAUCCUCGAGGGUUCGUGCUAGUCGCCCCCGGAUAAUUAGAUACGCUAUCUUUUGCGCUAAUUAAAUCACUUUUUUUCGUUUGAUUACUCAGCAGUCGAGCUGGGUAUUCAACUGUAAUCUGUUUGUGAAGAUCUAUGUAUCCAUUGGUGUAACUAAAAACUUCACCGAAACUGUGACAUUUUCCAACGAUCCGGUAUCGUCCUCGAUUCAUAAUCGAUCAGGGAUACUCCUCGCUGUCUCGAGUCGAACGGAAUUAUAAGAUGCGAUACGGCUUAAAGAAAGAGGAAAAAUUGUGCCACUCGAAAAUGUUAAUACGGGAUGCUGAAUUACCGUCGACCUUAAUCUCGGAAUCAUGUCAUUGAACAAGUAGUUCGCAUGUGCAUUCGCUUAGUAGCCCUCAAGAUGUUUAAAAAUGCAGAUCUAAGAACGUCGAUAGUCAGCUGAAUUUUAAGGAGCGAACACUUCUCUAUAAGAUAUCGGCUCAUUAACGAUGCCUAUAAAGACGAGAUAAAUUUCGUGGCGAUUUGAGAAUCCUUGGUUGGUUAAUAAAACCGAACGAACUCGUGUUGAAAGUCUAUUGAAAUAUUCAACGUUUCAGAUCGCAAUCUAUAGAAUAAUACGGGCUUCGGUUUCUCGUUCAUGACCAACCGAUUCAGCGUUGUUUCCGUUAAGUGCAGCAUGAAAGAUUCACAGGAAACGUGAGGCUACUCUCCAUCUGCUACUAACUUCGCUGAGAUAAUGUGAUAGUAUCCAAGAAAAUUAUUUAGAAAAUUGGAAUUCUUGGAUCACGUUUCUUAAUUACAGCUACUGAUAUAGUUAUUUGUGUACGUUGAUUUUAUCAUAGAGAUCGUUAUCUUUGAAAAUAUUUUCUUCUCUAGGACAGCUUAUUUUCCUCGCUUCUCUACCUACAUCGUAUAUUCUAUUUCCUGGCAAGUGUUUGUUUUACAAAGUUCUUGCUUUAUCUGCUCGUUACACGUGCACACGUUCGUCAGUUUGUCUUUUAUUAUAAACUUAAAUUAUAAUUAACUAUUCAGCGUAAGCAUUCUCUUGGUUUACUAGGGAGAAUCUAAUCAAAACCCUUCGUGAAUGGUAGGACACUAUUUUCUUUACAAUUUCUCCUUAACUAAGGAAAGUCAAGACGAUUUAAAGAUUCGAAUUUAUUCAGAUGAACGUUCAUGCGACGAAAUCGUACGCUUAAAUCAAGAGCAACGAGAAUCGUUGAACGUUACUCGGCUUUUUGCGGCAACAGAAAUGAGGCGUCAAAUGACUAAGGCCUGGGCUCUGUCCGGACCAGACUUCGCCCAUUUGUUGCAGAGUUUCUUUCUGACGUCCAAUUGAGUUUGUGGUUUAACUCGUUGAGCUUUGCGAACGUAUCUGUGUGUUCGUUGCUCGAACUCUCCGCGUUCGCUUCCGCUUAAAUCGAGCAGCACGACCCGGGCCUGGGCCAACUUCUCUUUACGCAGAAACGAAAUGAAACGAAACGAAAUGCAGAGAGAAUUUUCCAGCUACGAUUUACUUGGCGGAACCGUUCCGUGCGUGUGACGUUGAACAGUUGCAUUGAAAGAUUAAAAAGUUUCGUUCGUUUCAAGAGAAGGGAAAGCUCGCGUUUUAAACUGUCGCGUUUAUCUCGAAAACGGUGCACGUGUACCACCGCGUACGUGAAUUAAUAUUCACGUGAAUGUAAAUCUGUUACUGACUUUUCAUACCCUGACCGAAAUUUUAUCUUCCUCCCUCGAGUAAAUUCUCCUGAAUCUCUUCUACGUUCAUUGAAAAGCUUAGCAAUCUUUUUCCUCGUCGUUCUUUUAGCUCGUUAAAUAGCAAUCGUUAACGUAAUAUCGAGAGAGACUAGAAGGACAAAUCGAGCGCGAGAUGCAUAUUAAUAAUAAAACAGGAGAACGACGUCGGCAAAGAAGUCUGAUACUUUUGUUCUGACUGUUUCCCUUCAGACCUCAUUACAUUCCCUUAAAACGAACGUUCCGAUAAACACUCGACGAAUAAAUUGCUGGUCGUUAACAAAGUCGGUUGCCGAGGAUAAAUUAUACAAAAGAUGGAGAAUCGAUGGAGAUCGUGACGGGAGAAGGAGGAUGCGACAAAUUUCUCAAUUUUAAAUACUAAAUCCCUAUAAUAAUAGUUACAAGAACGACGCUCGUAAUGUAAUUAUUUUCAAGAACUCUUGUGUUUCCUUCGUUUCUUUGUUCCUAUUUUAUAUCUAUUAAUUAUUUUCUAAUUAAUUGAUCUCACGUUUACUAUUAAGAGAGUCAUAAUUUUGUAUCGAAUAGCAAUGUUUGCUAUAUAAAGCCACAUUUCUUCUGGCGAUAAAAGAAAGUCUCUGAUGGAGUGAGUACACGUUGAAAACAAGGAGAAAGGUGUAAGUAACAGGAUUCUCUUGGACUUACACGGAAGAAAUGAAACAGCUCAGUGUUUCCUGUUAACGUUUAACGCUUAAAGGGUUCGCUUUGAGUUUUCUCGUGUUGCCGGUUUCCACGUACAUAAUGCAAUACGUUCCGGCUAAACGAUCAUUAGUUGACGAUGAAUAUGCAGCAGUUGCUUGGUAUUCUAUAUAGUAGUUGCAUAUGUUUGUUAUUAAAUUAGAGGGCUCGUUGGAGGCAGAGUACACAAGAUUAGUAAGCGUUUGUCGGCGGGUCAUACGCUCGCAUUACCGCUUCGGCUCGCUCUUCUUCGGCCGGAACAUUUCUCGACACGCGGGAAUCCAUUAAUAACACUGAUUUAUGUGAGAAUCCCUCGUUACACGACACACCGGCACCACCCACCAAAGAAUUGACAGUUACCCCUCAGGGCGACUUGCAAUAACUUCCUCCGUGUAAAUUAACGAAUGAGCUUGCACUUUGUGUACUUCGGAGUAAACUCGUCUAUUGGGUUUGACGAGUUCCGACAGAUGCUCCGUUUUUCCAAACACGUCUAGAUAUUAGGUUGUUGCGUAUAAAAGAAUUUUUGCUCCAAAUAAUCAAACAAAUUCUGCCAAUCGAAGGGUGCAAAAAUUAAUUUUCAAGAGCUGUCUCAUGAGAUUAUUACAUAUACAUUGUCGUAAAAUCGAGGAGACGAGCGAGACUGUAAACAAAUUUAAAGUAUGCUCCACGUAACAGCACCAGACGAGAUUCUCGUUUGUUUACAGUCGCUUGUUUCCGUUGUUUCAUCACGCUCCGUUCUGGGCCAUGUUGUCGCGAAAAUCAGUUAUUGCUGAGACCGUCGAAGGUGAACGACGUCUGUAUAUUCGACAGAUUUUAGUAGUAAAAUUCCCUGAGGAACGAAUACAUACACAGAGAAAAUAGUAAAUGGUGGUUAGUGUCUCUCGACUCGAGGGCCAUCGUCGACAAAAGGAACAUCAAUGUUUACGUGUAAUUUUGUGAUAUUUAGUGACACGGGUUUACGAUUAGAUUGUUCGUUUUGAUUCGACACGUGAUUUUCAUUAGUGAAAACGUCGGAUUUAUCUUCUCAGUGAACAUGAAUCGAUCUCUGAACUGGAAGCUAGUGUUCAGCGACUCCGAUUCGCAAAGCAAUUUACUCAUCUGGAUAUUUCGAAUCUUGAUCACAUACGCGACCCUGUACCUGAUAUGCGUCGUCAUAUGGAUAAUCUAUUAUCACGCCUCGCUCUAUAUAAUAUGUGCUUGCACGUAAAAGAGGGUGGAAGAGGAACGACAAUGUGAAAAUGAAAAGAUUCACUGACGUCUGGAUAUCGUCAGUAAGGAUUUCCCGGAUGUCGCGACGGAGUUCAACGAAAUUUACCCCUUCGAGGUGGUACCUCGUUCUUCGAGGAGAACAGCAAUCUACAAGGCACGAAUAAAAUCAUGUCCCUCAUGUAAACAAUGUGUUCUGAAUGUGUUUCGCCCUGGAAAAAAAUUACUCCGUAUGAUAGAAAAAAAAAGCGAAACAAAAACGUUUCAUUUGUUGCAAAGUUCGGAGCGGUAGAGGGAGAAAAACGCGUAUCGUUGGCAGAUUCGGAGGUGCUUCACAAUUUUCGUCGAAUACGUUUCGUUGUUCGUUUCGCGUAUUAUUUUUCACGCAAAAUGGGAAUGGGAAAAAAAUUAAUUUCACCAGCACGGGAUACGUCUGCAUAGAUAAUUCGUGCGCACCUGAUACAUCGAUCGCGUUUCAUUUUCGGCGGAUCCGAACGGUUGUGAAUUGAUACACCAGCGACGUGCAUCAUCGCUUAGGUGCACGGCCGAUGCACCAUUAACGUGGCGUUAUCGAAACGAUGAUGAAACAUCGACAUCAUUUCGACCUUGCAUUAUCGCGGACCGCGGCGAGGAAAAUCAUCGGGAUGCGAUACGGGAGGUUCGAGUAACCCACUGCGAUGUUUCGCUUGAUUACACGGUAAAUUAUAUCACAAGAGGAGCGUGGAAUUAAAGCGAACUCCGAGUUGAUGGAAGUAUUUGCUGCUUGACUUUCUUUCUCACGUACGUUGGGCGCAAGUUAAAGAACAAGUUCACAAGUUCGUCGACGGAUCAGGGGGGGGGAAAAAAGACUACCCCGAUACCCUGGCCCGGGUGAAAUUAAAUUCCUCCCACGUUCGGCUGGAUUUUUUUCGAAAGUCAAAUAUCUAAAAUCGAACCGCUUCGAACGGUUAAAUAUUUGCACCGCGUUCGGUCGCUUUUAUCCUCUCGAUUCUCUUCUCUCUUCAUUUUUUUUUUUAUGUAUUUCAACCAUUGUAUCGCUGUUAAAAUUAUUUUCCAUCCUCCUCAAAGAGCGUGAUUGUUUUUUAUUAAUCGAAUGAGAUUAACCUCUUUGUCUUGCAAUUGUGUUUACCGAUCGAAUACGAUGGAAUUAAAUAUUCAAUUGUGAGAUAUUGGAGCAUACAGCAUAUUUUUUUUACGCUGAUGGAUUUUUCGGGGCAUUGUUCGUUUUGCAUGGGUAGAUUAAAACGUAACUGUGAACUGUAAAUUAAAAAUCAGACUAUUCCAGUAGGAUAAAUGAUUCUGUUACAUUUUAGUUAUAGCCCAGUGGCAUGAUUGAUGGUGGAUAUUACAAGACAGGAGGUGAAAUAUUAAAACGAUAUUUCUAUCGGUCAUGGUAAUUUAUUUAUUGCAAGUACUAUUCCUCUUUUGAUUCUCGUACGUACGUAGCUCAAACGUGUAUGUGCUGACGAGUAUACAGGCUAACCCUGAUUCCGCGGCAAUUUCCGGUUCAACCGGUGCCGCAUCGUUAUUGUGCAAAGGCGGCUAGCGACGAGGAAUGAAUCAGGGGUUUAGAGGGAGGGAUGAAGGUGGAGGUGGUAGUUGGAGGUCCACGUAGGAAAUAGAUAAUCAUCGGACGUUUAAUUACUUCCUAGGCGUGUUAGUUGGAACGAAGAUAUCAGCAACGGGAUACGCAUACAUUUGUGUCAUCGAAUCAUGUAGAUUUUCCAUGUUCAGUAAUCGGUCAUUUAACAUGCAACAACCUGAUACAUAUGUUCGUGUCGCGAGCUGAGCUAAUUAAUUAUUUGUUAUGAAGACCAGCAAGGAUUAGACGGACACGUAAUAUUUUCGCUCGUGUUCGUUGUAAUAUGUUGCGUCCCGGAUUACCUCGUUCCUCUUAUUAAAUCCUCGUGCAUUCUCUUUUCUUUGCUUUAAUUUUAGUUACAGUGCUGUUGCACAGGAAAAACAAAGAGCUUUCUUUUAUUUCUAAAGCGUGGUUACAGAGGAAUUUUAAAUGAGAUAUUUUUUGUUUAAUUGUAAUUUUAUGCAUUUGCAUUGCUGGUUGCAAGAAGGGUCUCAAUGAUAAAAAUUAUUUUCAUGAAAGAUGUCUAAACAUUUAAGAGAUAUUUCUUUUUUAGGUAGAUAAGUUCUUGGAAAACGAUCUACAAAGUUCCACUUAGCCAUGAUUAAUUUAGACAGGUGAAUCGGCAGCAAGAACUGUUCCCCUACGCGAUUCGCUUUAACACGGCCGUUUUGCUCAAGUGGCCAGGCAAUUUGUGGACUUUCCACCGCCUAGUUCUGCUCAGUUUGUUCUUGAAAAAGAGCAUUCGCGAGGGUGAUGAGCAAAAAGUAAACUUGUGCCCACACGCGAACCAAUCGUAGGACAAGGUUGGAUAGAGCGUAAGGAGAAUUUAUGCAGCGAUCGGUUUGCCUAUUGCCGUAUUAAACCGCGUUUCCCGUCGAUUUAUAGUUCGCCGUGUAUGAAAUUGGGAAUUAGCGACGGUUUGGUCGGUGUCGUAGCUCACCAGCUCGCGUAAUGUGCCACGACAUGAUUCUUAAAUAUUGCGCCGGGUUCAAAUGUCUUCAUAAUUUUUCUUCUGAUUCACGGUACGCUUAACACUUCCACGGUAGCGGAACGCACGAUACGAUGAUACAUUCUUGUUUUGAUUUCACGAAAGAGGAUAACUUACAGCCUUUGUAGUGCAAAGUACACUCGCCGUCAAAUCAAGCUUCCCUAGGGAAAAUAGCGAGGUCAUUUUGAAUUUUUUAGCUUGGAUCGAAAAUUUAUCGGUUCAAAAAAUAUCCUAGGGAGAUAUUUCAACUAAUCAAUUUUGAUGCAUCAAAUGAUAUUACAAAAAAUCUAGUCAUAGAUACACUUGUUUUCUAGAAUCCUUUAUUCAUAUCAUCGGCGUCCUUAAUCGACUGCAAUUGAAUUAGCAGCGAAUGUACUUUGAAAUUGGUACAAACGUGAUGCACGCGUGUAAGUGUAACACGUCGUACGAUUGCCGCACGGUGGUGUGUUAGACAGACAUGAGUAAGGCACUGAAUACAGGGUGACUGGGAUAAUUAUUUCCGUGGUUGGUCGGCUGGCCUAUUUAACCUAUAAAAUUUGCAUGCACGGUUCUGUGGCGUAGCCUGUGGCUCGAAUGUGUGCGCGACCUAUUCGCUUGGCGUUUCAAUAAAAAGCCUUUGCACUUGUGUCGCGAAACGUUCCAGGAUAUUUUUGCCCCGUUAUUGCAUGCCCAUAGGCUACCGCUUCCGCGCUGUAUAUAUAUUCAAAAAAUGAACAAACGUUCCUGUGGUUUAAUAAACCUGAAGGUACGAUCAUUUCUAAACGUUUCUCCAAUAAUAAACGGUCGGGUUAAAAAGGGAAAAUUUAAUUAAUGUUUCUACGUUUCACCUGAAUCAUUGUAAAAUGAAACUUCAAGUAAAAUGUUACAGAAGAAUACUCGAUGCGUGUUCAGUGUCGAGUUUAAAAUUGCUUUGCUUCACGAAUAGUUAAAAAAUUUGUUUCACCCUUAAUUCAGGAAUUUUUCAUUUCCACGCGGCGUUGCACCCUCUAUUGUUUUGCACUUUUACCCGGUGCACGUUGCGCUGUUUUCUGAUCGAAUUUCGAUUAUUCGAAAGCGUUGCGGUUGCUGCAGCCAGCAAAAUUGUUGUACAAACAAAUCCGGCCCGUAUUUUGUAGUUCUCCCGGAACCGGAGAAUUUCUGUAGUACCAGGAACGAACUUUGACCCGGUUACAUAUAGUUGAAUUUUCAUUUUCAUUCUCACACUCUGAUACGCCCCUGCACAUUUUCAUGCUGACAGGUAGAACGCUUAAAGCGAACGAAGGUCUUACAUUUAGCGGACGCGAACGAGGCGAGGUGAGCUCGCGACGGCUUUACUCGAUUUUAAUAAUAAUGUGAUAAUGCGUUUCGGGCUUAUGGCUCCGUGCAACCUUAAUUGAGAAUUCUAAGUCCAUUUUGGUGGAGCGGUCAUCCUACGUGUAAAUAAUUCAGGGCGCACAUGCGACCGAGCUAGGCCCCUGCUGCAUGAAUGUAUGCCAGCCUGUAACUAGUUUACUGAUUAUUAAAUGGCACCCAGCCCUCUUCGUCUACGAUGCGCACCCUUUCAACGGCCGACACGUGGUUCGCCUGGACGGCACGUUUCGCCAAGUGGCCGAAUACAUUUACGAUACUUUCCAUAAUCUUCUCGUUUAGAUAUCACUUCGGAAAUUCGAUGCACCGUUCGCGCUUUCACGUUUGUGACCCUCGCCUCCUGGCCACCGUAACAUACACACGGAACGGUUCCGUGAACUUUGAAUGCUUGCAUGCUUUUAAAAGUACGUGAAUAUUUUAAGCUUGCUGGAACUGUUAAACAGUGGAAAUGUAUGGAAGAUUGCGAGGAUAAAUUGCUAUUGUAGAUUCCGGGACAGUGCUGUUGUGUGAUGCAGUGAAUGCAAAUGCUUUAACAUUCUAAUGAGUAGAUUUGCAUAGAACGUACUUCGGGAUGUUGAUUUCGGUAGAUUUAUUUAAUUUUCGGAUUCAGAGAGUCUUUUCAGAGGAAAUUCUGAUUUAUACCUUACCGCUGUAUCCUCGAAUUUCUUAUUAAGAUUUAUUAUAUUAGAUUUCGAUUUAUUUUCGGUAUGAUAUUAAAAAUGCUUAGAAUUAUUUGCGAAACCUUUUUAAAUCAUAUUUUACCCUUUUAAGUAAUCCUUUUCAACAUAACUACUCGAGUUUGACAAAAAUUGGAGAUAGCGAUCAAACGGUAGACAAUUACCUGUAUAGUAUAAUCUUGAGAUAUUUCAUUAUCCAUACCGAGCAUACAAAGUCCCUUCAGCUGACAAAGCGUUAACGACGACACCGUUUCGCACUAGCGCUAUCUCAUCGCGAAUUCAUUCGACGAUCUCCCCCAAGAUGUUCAUUUAGAGGAUCAAUUACCUUCCAGCUAAUUUUGUAUUCGAAAUGUGUCUUUCGAGGGAGCGGAACGAAACGUUUGAAUUGAAUCGAUGUUAGGCCGAACCAUAAACGAAAUUGUCAACGUAAAUACGAGGAUGAUUCUGGCGGCAGUACCUACGUGUUGUCCCGUCUUUUCACCCUAAUCUCGUCUAAUCGAUACGAAAGUCUCGCGCUUACUCAAUGUCACAGCCAGCGUCGACACACGGGGAACUUUCGAUAGCAACAGCGUCGCCCUGCACCCUCCAUCGCUAUCUCCUGUUUCCUGCAGCGUAAAUUUGUUAAAGUUCCGCUCUCGUGGCGUUGGUACCGCACCGCACACACCGGUUCCCUACAUUCAGAUUGCGUCCCGCCGAAUCUCCGUUCUUCGAAUACUUCGCGGCGUCGCGACGCGCCCCUUUGAACUUCCAGCCAGCCUCUUUCCUAAGUUAAUCUAAGUCCGUCACUUCGACGCGCUGCCUUGAAAGCUGCGGACCUCCGCGAAAGGGUACAGUUUCCCGGCAAUCUUUCCCCUUCGUUUGUGAUCUUAAGGUUUUUCCCUGGGAAAACGACGAGAUCUUUUUUUUUCGUAAAAUUUUCCGUAUACCCUAAUCUGUUUGUUACGCGAAUUUCUAAUUUCAAAGCUUUCCGAUACAUUGAUCGAUUCGGUGAUUACGAUAAAAAAAGGUUUAUCUAGGUUAACGAGGGUCGAAAAUUGUGUCUCGAUGGAUGUCAAACUAUCCUUCUAUCGGGUGCUUUGUAACUAAAGGUCGAACAGCGAGGUUGUUGCGAAAUAGCCUCAUUCUAGCUCUGGAAGAGGCAUUUUUGGCCGGAAAUUGUAUGCCAAUCCCGGAGAAGACAAUUACCCGUGCAGUCAGAUCAAAACCGUAUCUUUGCGUGUCGCGUCGAUCGAUAGUCUAUCAGAGCGGUUAAGGUACCACUUUUCAAUCACUUUUCCAUUCGCAUCAACCUCGCUUUUACGCAAUAGUGCAGAUUACCUUUUCAAGUGGUCUAUUUGGCGAGGAUAAAAGGCUGCGAUCGUUUGGAAACGAAUAUCCCAGUUGAGAUGAACGGAUCUACUAACAAAAUAUUUCUCCUAGUACAAUUAACACUCGAUAAAUUCGUUCAGAUACUCUGUUCAUAUUUAUCGAUCCUUUAGUUAAAGUAACUUUCAAGAUUAAAAUUCUCGUUUAAUCCUUGAACAGACUGAAAUACCUAUUUUUUUGAUAGGCCCACGUUAGCCAUGGUAUAACCUAACGAUGUUUCUUUUCGCUUAACAUCGGCCUAUCGAAACGCCGGAGGGUCGUUUCCAAUCAGAUGUGGCCAAUUAAAGACCAAUCGUUUCCCAUUAUGUACCUCUUCCUCCCAUUUGUGUACGCUUUCAGCUUAGUAAUGUAGUUUCUCCUACCGUGCGAGAGAACGUUUCCAUUAUAUACGUAUUGAUCCAUCGAUCGAUUCGCGUGUAUCCGCAAAUAACGAGAAUAUUGUAAUCAUUUAAAAACACGUCGAGUACGUUGCGAAGUAGGUAUAGUUAUAUCAUAACUCCUUUUCAAAAAAAAAAAAAAAA